AUUGAACGCUGGCGGCAUGCUUUACACAUGCAAGUCGAACGGUAACAGGCCGCAAGGUGCUGACGAGUGGCGAACGGGUGAGUAAUGCAUCGGAACGUGCCCAGUCGUGGGGGAUAACGCAGCGAAAGCUGUGCUAAUACCGCAUACGAUCUGUGGAUGAAAGCGGGGGACCUUCGGGCCUCGCGCGAUUGGAGCGGCCGAUGUCAGAUUAGGUAGUUGGUGGGGUAAAGGCUCACCAAGCCGACGAUCUGUAGCUGGUCUGAGAGGACGACCAGCCACACUGGGACUGAGACACGGCCCAGACUCCUACGGGAGGCAGCAGUGGGGAAUUUUGGACAAUGGGGGCAACCCUGAUCCAGCCAUGCCGCGUGCGGGAAGAAGGCCUUCGGGUUGUAAACCGCUUUUGUCGGGGAAGAAACGGUCUGCGCUAAUACCGCGGGCUAAUGACGGUACCCGAAGAAUAAGCACCGGCUAACUACGUGCCAGCCGCCGCUGUAACAC
rnacentral:rRNA from 1 species